rnacentral:rRNA from 1 species
UACCAGCACCCCGAGUGGCCGGGACGAUUAUUGGGCCUAAAGCAUCCGUAGCCGGUUCUGCAAGUCCCCCGUUAAAUCCAGCUGCUCAACAGAUGGGCCGCGGAGGAUACUACAGAGCUAGGAGGCAGGAGAGGCAAGCGGUACUCAGUGGGUAGGGGUAAAAUCCGUUGAUCCAUUGAAGACCACCAGUGGCGAAGGCGGCUUGCCAGAAUGCGCUCGACGGUGAGGGAUGAAAGCUGGGGGAGCAAACCGGG